rnacentral:rRNA from 1 species
GACGAACGCUGGCGGCGUGCUUAACACAUGCAAGUCGAACGGAAAGGCCCUGCUUUUGUGGGGUGCUCGAGUGGCGAACGGGUGAGUAACACGUGAGUAACCUGCCCUUGACUUUGGGAUAACUUCAGGAAACUGGGGCUAAUACCGGCUAGGAGCUCCUGCUGCAUGGUGGGGGUUGGAAAGUUUCGGCGGUUGGGGAUGGACUCGCGGCUUAUCAGCUUGUUGGUGGGGUAGUGGCUUACCAAGGCUUUGCCGGGUAGCCGGCCUGAGAGGGUGACCGGCCACAUUGGGACUGAGAUACGGCCCAGACUCCUCCGGGAGGCAGCAGUGGGGAAUAUUGCACAAUGGGCGGAGGCCUGAUGCAGCAACGCCGCGCGCGGGAUGACGUCCUUCGGGUUGUAAACCGCUUUCGCCUGUGACGAAGCGUGAGUGACAGUAAUGGGUAAAGAAGCACCGGCUAACUCCGUG